AUCCAGACUCCUACGGGAGGCAGCAGUGGGGAAUAUUGCACAAUGGGGGAAACCCUGAUGCAGCGACGCCGCGUGAGCGAUGAAGUAUUUCGGUAUGUAAAGUUCUAUCAGUAGGGAAGAAAAUGACGGUACCUGACUAAGAAGCCCCGGCUAACUACGUGCCAGCAGCCGCGGUAAUACGUAGGGGGCAAGCGUUAUCCGGAUUUACUAGGUGUAAAGGGAGCGUAGACGGCGCUGCAAGUCCGGAGUGAAAGCCCGUGGCUUAACCAGGGUACUGCUCUGGAAACUGUGGAGCGUGAGUGCGGGAGGGGCAGGCGGAAUUCCGAGUGUAGCGGUGAAAUGCGUAGAUAUUAGGAGGAACACCGGCGGCGAAGGCGGCCUGCUGGACCGUAACUGACGUUGAGGCUCGAAAGCGUGGGGAGCAAACAGGAUGAGAUACCCGUGUA
rnacentral:rRNA from 1 species